rnacentral:rRNA from 1 species
UCCGUAGGCGGUGCGGCAAGUCGGGAGUGAAAUCUCAGGGCUUAACCCUGAGGCUGCUUCCGAAACUGCCGUGCUCGAGUGCGAGAGAGGCGAGUGGAAUUGCAGGUGUAGCGGUGAAAUGCGUAGAUAUCUGCAGGAACAUCCGAGGCGAAAGCGGCUCGCUGGAUCGCAACUGACGCUGAGGGACGAAAGCUAGGGGAGCAAACAGGAUUAGAUACCCUGGUAGUCCUAGCCCUAAACGAUCAGGACUGGGCGUGGGCCUCGUACGGGGCUCGUGCCGCAGCUAACGCGUUAAGUCCUGCGCCUGGGGAGUACGGUCGCAAGGCUGAA